AGAUACUUCUGCGCAGACAGUUGAUCUCCUGUAAAGCUCCAGGAAACAUCCAGUGCUCCCUGAUAAAACAGCCAAACGACAACAUGAAUCCUCUCAACUCAAAGUAUUGAUGUAAUGUGGAUUUGCUGCCCAAUGACAGGACAGAGCAGUAAUCAUGUGCAAUCUCAGCCCACUUUUCAUCCAUGAGAGAGAACCUCCGCUGGCUCAUCUAACUCAGCCCUGGUGAUGGUUUCACUGCCCCCGCAGCCCCACCCCCUGUCUCCCAGAUCUAGAGAUCACCUGAAGUGGACUGAGCUGCUGGCUGACGAUCUGAGCUGAACACAGCUGUGGGUUUGGACUCACCUCUCCAAAGCGAACAGAUGAGUGUGUUUCACUCCACAGCAGCGGUGCGUCCGGAGGGUU